rnacentral:rRNA from 1 species
GACGGGGGGGGGCAAGUGUUCUUCGGAAUGACUGGGCGUAAAGGGUGCGUAGGCGGCGCGGUAAGUCGGGUGUGAAAUCUUGGAGCUUAACUCCGAAACUGCAUUCGAUACUGCCGUGCUUGAGGACUGGAGAGGAGACUGGAAUUUACGGUGUAGCGGUGAAAUGCGUAGAUAUCGUAAGGAAGACCAGUGGCGAAGGCGGGUCUCUGGACAGUUCCUGACGCUGAGGCACGAAGGCCAGGGGAGCAAACGGG